AUGUCCACCACCUCCGUGCGCCGCCCCUGCCUGCUCGCCCUCGCCGUCGUCCUCGCCAUCCUCCUCUGCUUUCCGCCGGAAACGGCGCAGUAUGCGUAUGGUCCUCUCCUCAACUUUCCACCGCUAAUGGCGCAAGUUUCGUAUGAUCCUCCGUGGUCCGACGAGUUCUGGACCAACGAGGUCGUCCUCGGCGAGGAGGCCAACGUGGCCGCCAGACGCGCGGCUACGCGUACGGCUGCGCCAGGCUAUUGUUGA
rnacentral:rRNA from 1 species